rnacentral:rRNA from 1 species
AAGGUCCUAACCAACUCCCGACCAAGUGAGGAGCACCAUGACAGCGCAAAGGUAAGCUCAGCAGGAACGACACUGAAGAAGAAGAAGAGCUUGCCAGCUCAGUCGAAACCUGCACCUCCGAAGAUAAUGUAGCUCGACAGCCGAACCUCUCCC